AGACUACCAUUUGAUUUCGGUG
rnacentral:misc_RNA from 1 species